rnacentral:tRNA from 1 species
UAUUUUAAUAGCUUAUUAGAGCAUAAUAUUGAAGAUAUUAAGGAGGUUUUUAAUCUUAGAAUAU